AGUGAACGCUGGCGGUAGACCUAACACAUGCAAGUCGAACGGCAGCACAGUAAUAGCUUGCUCUUACGGGUGGCGAGUGGCGGACGGGUGAGGAAUACAUCGGAAUCUACUUUUUCGUGGGUGAUAACGUAGGGAAACUUACGCUAAUACCGCAUACGACCUACGGGUGAAAGCAGGGGAUCUUCGGACCUUGCGCGAUUGUAUGAGCCGAUGUCGGAGUAGCUAGUUGGCGGGGUAAAGGCCCACCAAGGCGACGAUCCGUAGCUUGUCUGAGAGGAUGAGAAGCAACACUGGAACGGAGACACGGUCCAGAGGACUACGGGAGGAAGCAGUGGGGAAUAGUGGACAAUGGGCGAAAGCAUGAUCCAGCAAUACCGCGUGGGUGAAGAAGGCCUUCGGGUUGUAAAGCCCUUUUGUUGGGAAAGAAAAGCAGCAGGUUAAUACCCCGCUGUUAUGACGGUACCAAAAGAAUAAGCACCGGCUAACUUCGUG
rnacentral:rRNA from 1 species